UACGUAGGGGGCAAGCGUUGUCCGGAUUUAUUGGGCGUAAAGCGCGUGUAGGCGGCUUGGUAGGUCAGCUGUGAAAACUCGAGGCUCAACCUCGAGAUGUCGGUUGAAACCACCUUGCUAGAGUCCGGAAGAGGAGAGUGGAAUUCCUGGUGUAGCGGUGAAAUGCGCAGAUAUCAGGAAGAACACCCGUGGCUAAGGCGGCUCUCUAGUACGGUACUGACGCUGAGACGCGAAAGCGUGGGGAGCGAACAGG
rnacentral:rRNA from 1 species